UACGUAGGGUGCAAGCGUUGUCCGGAAUCAUUGGGCGUAAAGCGCGCGUAGGCGGCCAUUUAAGUCCGCUGUGAAAGUCAAAGGCUCAACCUUUGAAUGCCGGUGGAUACUGGAUGGCUAGAGUACGGAAGAGGCGAGUGGAAUUCCUGGUGUAGCGGUGGAAUGCGCAGAUAUCAGGAGGAACACCAAUAGCGAAGGCAGCUCGCUGGGACGUUACUGACACUGAGGCGCGAAAGCGUGGGGAGCGAACAGG
rnacentral:rRNA from 1 species